UGAAGCAUUUUCAACAGUUUCAGGCUCCAGCUCUUGUUUAAUGUGAUCCAUAUUUUCACAGACCUGUAUGGUUUCUUCUUCCAAAUUUUGUGCAAGAGGAGUCCGACAGCAGUUUAUCUGUUCGAAGACUAUUGCUUUAGGAAGGCUAGAAAAAUGCAAGGCCGCCUCUGAUGAUAAUAUCGAUGACAGGCGAAAUGGCUGUAACACUCAAAGCGGAAGAAUCUUGGAUUAGUCCGUUUCAAAUGGUCAAGUAUAGCCGCUAGAAAUAAGCUUGGUACUUGGAGAUAAGCGAUUCCAUUACCAUUUGCAAUGUGUGACCUAUGCAUGACCGACUAUACGGAAGCAGCAAUAACAAAAAGCAUAGUUCCAUGAUAUGACGAAAAAUAAAGAAUUAAAAAUUAUCGAUAUAGAUGUAGAAGAGAAUCAAUUUAGUGGAAGUCCACCACUCUGAAAGUCAGUGUGGAGUCCCAAUGGUUGCCGCCUUUCAGGCGAGGCCGCCCGGAUACUGCCAUCAGACGUGACCCCCCAUCUUCAGCGGCGGGUUCCGUCAUGGUUCAGAUGUCUUCGAUAGGGCUGCAAGUAUGAGCAUGGCUACUCUCUGCAAGAAAAGAGGGGAAACAAUUAAGAAAAACAAGAGCGCGAGGGACUGGGGGCCCAUCAGGUGCGUACGCGAGCGGGGCCUGUCCUGUCCGUGGGCCCAUUUGGAAGGCAGGGUCAUGUGCUCCAAAUGUUGGUACAAGAAGUCCUCGUGGCCUAUCUGGCGCUGGGUCACUAAAAUCAGCGGCCUUUCUUGGGCCGCUCGCUUUCCAAGCCCUACAUCAUGAUGGUUGUAUGGACGGUCCCGCAUGCAAGGUAUGUGAUUUCAUCAUUCAAAUUUUUCCUCUUGCAUUGUUGCAACCUAUACAUCCGGAUGGGGCUCCAAGCACGAAUCUAAGUGCUAUCGAGCAUGGUGUAGCAUGUAUCCAAUCAAUACAUUAUUUGGCACAUAGCACAGAUAUCAUAUUGGCUACAUGCUACCGGUCGACUUUGUUAAUCUCACCCAUCCCGCGUGCGAAACGCCUGCUAGUGGUGCUAAAAAAAAAGAGGAAAAAAAGGUGUGGAUUGUACUAUAUGGUGUGUGUUAUUAUCUAACCCUACCUAAAUCAAACCAAUUCUCUUCCGCCAUGUCAAGUAGUUAAAAGAGCAGCGAAGAGUGCGAGUGCUAAAUAGCUUUACUCGCAAUACUAUCUUGGCUGCUUCUGAGCUGCCACCAAUAAUUUUUGUUAUCUCGAUGGCCAUAUUGAGCCUUUAAAUAUCCUCUAUUGACUCACCCAGCCUAUAUCUUCAAGGACCCUCCAAAAUCCCAGCCCAAAUCCUAGACGGUGGGCCUAUUAGUCCAUAGGAUAAAAAAAAAAAAAA